rnacentral:rRNA from 1 species
UACGGGAGGCAGCAGUGGGGAAUAUUGCACAAUGGGCGCAAGCCUGAUGCAGCCAUGCCGCGUGUAUGAAGAAGGCCUUCGGGUUGUAAAGUACUUUCAGUCGUGAGGAAGGUGUUAAGGUUAAUAACCUUAGCAAUUGACGUUAGCGACAGAAGAAGCACCGGCUAACUCCGUGCCAGCAGCCGCGGUAAUACGGAGGGUGCGAGCGUUAAUCGGAAUUACUGGGCGUAAAGGGCACGCAGGCGGUUAAUUAAGUUGGAUGUGAAAUCCCCGGGCUUAACCUGGGAAUGACAUUCAAGACUGGUUAGCUAGAGUCUUGUAGAGGGGGUAGAAUUCCAUGUGUAGCGGUGAAAUGCGUAGAGAUGUGGAGGAAUACCGGUGGCGAAGGCGGCCCCUGGGACAAAGACUGACGCUCAUGUGCGAAAGCGUGGGGAGCAAACAGGAUUUAGAUACC